GUGGCCUAACGCUGCGUCCCUACCUACGUCUUUCCCUCACUGCGUCUGCUGCUCUGGGUGUCUCAUCCUCUCCCAUCCUCACUAGAAUGAAUCACCUCCCUUCACGGCUCACCUGGACUGCUGCGGGCAACCGGGUCCUGAUGCGUCGGGUGUCACGCGAAAGGAUAGCUGCCACGCCUGUUACGAUGCAGCGGGGCCGAAACCAACAAUGCUGAGAAGCACCCAGAUACGUUCCAUUCUCUGGGCCACCGCGGUACGAUGGCAAGAACCUUUAUGGCUCAGCCCAGUCCAACACGUGGGCUCCUCGGUUUAUAGGAAAAAUUACGUAUGUGUGCACACAUACGAUCACCUGUCCCUUUUCUGCACGGCCUGCAGCUGACUGCCUCUCCUCGGUUCCUCACGUGUUCACACGAGUUCCCAUGGCUCCUGCCGCCACGGCACCCUCCUUCCUCACCCCGCCCACCCAGGCUCCGAUUCCAUCGCCGAUAACUGUCUCCCCGUUCCUCCCUUACCUUUCCAGGAAAGACAGUGAGAAGGAAUGCCUGAUAAUCAGCACGAAGGAGAUGGCCCCCAACAGGAAGCUCCGUGCGGACCCCAGAGUUCUCCUUAGGCCUUGACGUUUCCGGUCAUCCUGGUCCUGGUCCUGGUCCACAGUCAUCACUGUGACUGCUGGUGAUCGCUGUGCUGCUCACCACCCUGCCUCUGCUAAUGAAUGAAGACGUGUGUGUUCUCUGGCUCAGUGAGGGUGUCUGCAACGGGCCUAAAGGAGCGUGGCACAUGGCCUGAGAAAAUCUGUGUAUGUAACCACGCGAGUCAGCCACGGAAGGACGCUGAAUACGAAAGACCGCGCUUAACACACAAAAGUACCGAGAACCGAGGAGGUCAGUGAAUGAGAAGUUUAUGUAUUUGUGAAAGAGGUUGUCUUCAAGCAAGUUGUCCUGAUGACAGACAUUGCUGAUUUCGUAUGUGACGCAGUGCAGAUACCAGAAGGAAGUGUCUGAGGACAACGUAUAAAUGUACCUUCAUAAAAGCAGGAAAGGAGGGAAGAGCAACAAGGCUGGAGGCACAGCGGCAAACAGGCCAGUUACGGUAAGGGCCCCUAAGAGGGCAUAUGUUACAGAAGUACUGUGGCUCAACCAUGUGCUGUAGCCGCCCAGCACUUGGGUUUUAUAAUGUGUGUUUUAGCAGUUUAAUCGCACGGGUGGCUUUAGAGCAAUAGGCAAGAGCAUCAGCUCUGGAGCCAGGCUGAGGCAAGAUCCUUAACUGUGGUCAAGAGCAGGGUAACGUUCAAAUUAAGCAAUUGGAACACGGCCUGGCAUAUCAUGGGGGAUCAAGACAUUUCAGUUCUCAUCCUUGGUAAAGUUGGGACCCGAACACAACUGUGAAACCCCAAGUUGGUUUGUAUAGUUUCACAUGGAUUUUUCUUAAAAUCGCCCGAUUGGAACUUAGAAUUUUCCAAUUACUAAACUCAUUCACUGAAUGACCUCAUGACUAAAUUCAGUGGAUAUUUUUCAGGCCUUUGUUUACCUGACCACUCAGCAUGUCGAGACAUCCAAACCUUUUCCUGGCCUUUCCUGAACUCCCACGUCCACCUUCUCCUGGGUUUCCUCCUCCUCCUCUGUGGAGUGCCACAGUCCCUUUGCUGGCUCUUACUCUGCACCACCCACCCGAGUCUUAGGGUCAUCUUAUCAUCCGGCCUCAUGAGACCACCAAAGGCCACACUGGCUUUCAGUUUCCCUCAGAAGGUUAGAGGACAGGUUCUCUAAAGUUAGGCACUAUAAUAGAGUUAAUGGCAUGGGCUUUGGGGCGGAUACAUGGGUUAAGAUCCCAAUUACUAGCCAUAAGGGCUUAGAAAAGGUAAGCUUCGACUUUCUCAUGUAUAAAAUGGGGAUGACAGUCACAGCAUUGCCAGGAGGAUGAAAUAAAAUUUGUAGGUAAACCAAUCAGGCUCAGAGUACUCAAAAUACCUGUUAUAUUACUGAAGAGGACUCUGGCCUGCUUGCUUUUCUUCUUGCAGUUAGGACUUAAACUCUGCUUCAUUUAAGGGGCUUGAACAAACUGAAUAACCAGGUGCCUUUCUGAAGGUGAAUAUGAUCCCAUGAGAUCCCGUGUCUUAUAUCCUGCAGUUGGGCUUCCUGAGCAGAUCCUGUGUACGUAUCUGUAGAAGUACCAGCCCCCGGCCACGGGCAAUCUCAGCUGGAUAAAGUCUUCGCAGGGCAAACAGCCUACUGUGUGGAGCUGCCCCCAGCCCCAGAGUCCUCUCUCCUCUCUCUCUCCUGUCUCACUAUCCAUCAGCAAAAUCCAAACUACCCAUUGAUGCCAAAUCCUUUUCCCCUACCGUAUCAGUAACUCUUGACUUGAGCCCACAAGUCCUGUCUGCUCGACCUUCAGAGGAGCCAGAAUUCACCACUCCUCACCCUCUGCUCUGGUCCAAGCCACCACCUCUGCCCAGUUCUUACAGCUGUCCCCAGGCUCACCUUCCUACCUCUGCCCUUGCCUGCCUUAUGUCUGCUCUCUCACUACCAACAAGAACGCUCUUUUCAAAAUUCUGUCCCUCUUUCGUUCAAGCCCUUCAAGGUGACAGCCACCUACUAAGCCAUCCGAUAUCUCCUCUCCACCUUGUCCGCUUGGGAUUCCUCCCGAAAUACUGCAAACACGGUGUUUUAAGUCUCUGAGCUUUUACGUUUGCUUUUCUGCCGGGAACACUCUUCCCCUUUGAGUGUCCAUAACCUGCUCGGGUCUUUACUAAAGUGCCGCUAUUUCGGCAACAUCUUCCCAGAUGACAUGAGUUAAAACUGAACUCUCCAUAACAGAACCCCACAGGAAUACACGUUGUAGGGAAAAAAUAUUUAAGCUUUCUUGUCCCAAUACUCUUUAUCAUUGGUCCCUGCUUUAUAUUUUUUUUAUAGCACUUACCACCAUCUAACAUACUAUAUAUUUGACUGACUUAUUCUGUUUAGUGUUGAAUUGACCACACUAAAAUGUAUAUUCCAUACGUGGGAGGAUAUUUUCGUCAGUUUUCUUCACCUCUAUAUUCCUGGUGACUUGAAUGGUGCCUGGCACGUAGUAGGCAUGCAAGUGUUUGUUGAGUGAGUGAAUACAUUAGAAUCUGAAGGCCAACUACAGGAGCAUUCUGUAACAGUAUGCCCAACAUUUACUGGCACAGCAACCGACUGAACAGACUAUCGGGAAUAUCUUCCGUGUGCCAGGCGGUCACCUCCCACUAGGCACUGACAAAUACUUAUUAAGCAUCUACUAGGGGUUUGCUCCCAAAGAGUGCUCUUGACGUGGGGAGGGAAGACAGAAAAAUAGGUAUUUUCACUAAUAUACAGUAAGUCUGAUAAUAACAGUUAGCCAAGGUAUUCAGCAGGGUCAGCCAAAGACAGUUGGGGAUGCCAAGGAAAGCUUUUCAAGAACAGAGGUGGUUGCCACUUGAAAAAGACUUUGAAGAGUAGAAAUGGGGGGCCAACUGGCUCAAGGGCAGAGGAUCCAAAAAUAAGAUGUUGUCCUAGUCCUUGGAGAGAUAACUAGUAGAGGAUGUAAGAGACAGCCAAAAAUACAAAAGUUAGCAAGUGAGUGCCAUGGGAGGCAAACAAAGCCCAAAGGAAGAGCUAAGAGGAAUUUAACAAAAUAUUCCCAUAAGAGUUGACCAGAUGAAGUGACAUUCUACUCUUGUUCAUUGGAGUGGUGACAAUGGUGACAGACAUGUUUGUGAAGAAACAUAAACCAUCACUAUUGUUUCUCAAUGGCUGGUAAAUGGCAGGCUUUAUUGAAUCCUUCUAGAAUACCUAUAAAGGUGGAUCCUGUGAAGCCUCUAUGGUAUAUUAAUCACAUUGGUAAGAUUUCUCUCAUAUGCAGGUUCUCUGCUGCCUUGAAUCUGGAAAAGAGGGGCUAAUAGAGAAGGACCCCAACACACUGAGGACUGGGGCAGGGUCUAUACAUGUCUUCAGAUCUCCUCUCAAGGGGGAAAACACAGACUUGUGUAGAAUUUUUGCAGGUGAUCUACUUUAGAAUCUAGUACCUGAGGACAGGUAGGAAGCCCUGCAGGAAUGGAAAUAUGGUGAGCCAGGCCCAGCCAACAGUGGACUUGUCCUAGGACAGCACCACAAAUCAAACAGCAAUAAAGAAGUUUAAGUCAUCUCUGUUCCCUCUGUAUUCUGUAUUCCAGAAAUUCCUGCAAUUCUCAGGGUGGUUGAAUAAAAAUUAGGCUACCUUUUUUUUUUUUAAAGUGUUCUGUGCUGCAUUUCAAAAAUGCAUACAUUUAGUUUUUAUCAAAGCUCUCAGAUACCUUUCUGAGGUCUUCAGGAACUGGAGGACUUGAAUAAAAGGACUACUUGGACAAGUGGUAGAACAUUUCAGCAGCAUCUCAUUUCCAGGUGUAUGUGGAGCCACUAAACCUUGACUGUCUUCCACGCACAGACAUGUAUAAUCAUUUCCCUUGAAUUGGUCCUCCAUUCACCCACCCCUGCUACAGUUCUUAAUUUCACAAAAUAUGUAGAGUUGCUCUGAACUGAUGCCAAAUCCCUUUUCCCUAUGGUAUCAGUAACUCUUGACUUGAGCCCAUGAUUUCACUAAUUGUAUCUUGACUCCUUAAAUUCUAUCUCUGAGCCAUCUAAAUUGCCACGUUCCUCCUCUUUAUUAGAUUUUUGACUGCAACGAUCAUUUCAUAUGAAUAAACAGUGUAGAGAUGCAUUUUCCUACCUCCCACCCCUUCAGUGCCAUGUUAUCAUGCAAUAUCAUUCUCUAGACUUUUUCAAACAUAUAUGCACAUAGAAGGCUUUUUUCCUUUCUUUAUAUAAAAUUACAAAGGCGGGAUCACAUGAUACGCAUUACUUUGCAACUUUCAUUUUUCUCUUCCUGGUAGAAUAGUCAUGCUUGUAGCUCAUAUCACAGAAAUCUUCUUUAAUUGCUUUGUGGGAUUCCCUAGUAUUUGACUAUAUUAGAUUUAUUAAAGUAUUGCUUGAUAUAUGUUCUUUGAAUAUUUUUUACCAUUACAAACAAAGAUGCUUUUAUUUGCAGAAGAUUGAUUACCAGAAUUAGGUAGCUGGGUAAAAAGGUUAUGUAAAUUUUUAACCAAUCUGCCAGAUCACUUUUCAAAACCACUAAGAGUGCCUCAUUCCCGAAUUCAUCCUCAGGAAUGCAUAUUAUUCCUCGUAAUUGCUCUUUUUACAACAUGAUGGGCAAAAUAACACAGUGUCCCAUGGUUUAAGUUUGCCAUUAGCCAGGUUAUGGGUGCUGCUGAACAAUCCUUCAUGCUUACUGGCUGACUACUUUUCUUAAUUCUUUUCCAGAUAGUUGUAUUUUGACUUAUUUAUUUAUUUAUUUAUUUAUUCUUUUUUUUAAUUUACAUCCAAGUGAGUUACCAUAUAGUGCAACAAUGACUUCAGGAGUAGAUUCCUUAAUGCUCUUUUUUUUUUAAAGGAGGUUCUACACCCAGCCAGGAACCCAACACCAGGUUUGAACCCAUGACACCGAGAUCAAGAGUCAGAUGCUUAAACAACUGACCUAGCCACUCAGGUGCCCUGGAUUUCGACAUUUAUUGUAUCUCUUGCCAUAAAGAGUUUAAAUUAGUGAAAUGCACAGUGCCAGACACAUAGUAAAUGCUCUUAUUGUAAAUAAAUAUAACAAUUUCUAAUUUUAUAAAGUCAUAUGCAUCAUUUAAUGACAUGCUCCUACGAUAAGAAGUCAUUUUUUAAAAUGUGCCUUCUUUACAUAGAGCUAUAAGGGAUUUCUUUCACCGGUUCCCCUAUGGUUAGACAUUUAGGUCGAUGAUGGUUAAUGGUUGCACAACAAUGUGAACGCAAUUAAUACUGAAUUGUACACUUUAAAGUGGCUAAGAUGACAAAUUUUACGUCAUGUAUAUUUUGCUGCAAUUUUUUUUUAAAAAGGGGAGGUUAUGGGGCACCUGGGUGGCUCAGUCGGUGGAGCAUCAACUUCAGCUGGGGUCAUGAUCUCGUGGUUGGUGAGUUCAAGCCCCCACCAGGCUCAUCCCUGUCAAGCAUAGAGCCCACUUCAGAUCCUUGGUCCUCCUCACUCUCUGCCCCUCCCCUGCUUGUGCUCUCUUGUCAAAAAUAAACAUUAAAAUAAAUACAUUGAAAAAAGUGGGGGGAUCCACCA